rnacentral:lncRNA from 1 species
GGGGGGGGGGGGGGGGGGGGGGGGGGGGGGGGGGGGGGGGGGGGGGGGGGGGGGGGGGGGGGGCCCGUCCCGGUCCCGUCCCCUCACCCCGUCCCGGUGCCUCCCGGUACCUCCCGGCUCCCCGGUGCGUGCCCCGUGCCUCGUCCCGCUGCUCACCCUCUCUUUAAAAAGAAAGAGAGAAAGAAGAAAGAGAAUAAUUUGGCUUUGUGUUGUUCUAGCUUUAGGAAUCUCUUUAAUAAAUCUGUCAGGACUUUUUUUUUAACAGAUAUCAACUAAAAGCACGAGAAACUGUAAGUAGUGUGCAGCAGUUUUGUCAGGAUCUUUACGAUCUCAGUGCUUGCUGGGUGACUAUUUUUGCAAAUGAGAUUAAACUUCUCAAUUAAACCUCUGUGCCCUGUGGCAAAAAAUACCACGGCAUUAAAAUUCAAUGGAACUGGCAAGGUGCUGCUCUGCUUUUCACCUGUGCUGUGUGCAGACCAUGGGAGAAGGGGAAUGCCGAUGGAGAAUCUGUUCCUCUGGGGAGCAAACAGAGUCACUGCCCCUGCAGAAAGAGAAGUCCGCCUGCAGGGCUGUUCUGGGCUCUGCACAAGUGGGACGCUGUGAUUAUAUUUGUCUCUGUGCUGGCCGUAGAGCCAGGCCCUGCUGCUGAUCCUUUGUUUGCAUUGCUCAUGACAAAAAUGAGCAGAUGUUCAGGGGGAAAUGGAGUUAGAUGGAAAAGGUGAUGGGUUUUAUGUUUCAGGAAAAAUCGCCUGAGACUUUCCCAGAUAAUGCAGAAUGCGACAAAUGUUUGUCCUCCUGAACAGGGUGAGAUGGAGCAGCCACUUCCAGGUGCAGGAGUCCCUCCCCUUCCCUCAGGAGCACCUGCAGCAGAGCAGGACACGGGCACAAAGCCAGGGAGAAAAGGACAACCGGGUUCUCACCAUGCAGGGCCGACCUCUGAGCCCCCCAGUGAUCAUGGCAACCAAAGACGGGAAAAGGCGGCUGAGGAACGUGAGAGAAGAAAAACCAAGGGGAAAAAAGCAGAAGAAACAGAACUGGUCAUCUUGGAUCCAGAACAUCCUCUGAUGACCAGAUUCCAGGCUGCCCUGAAGAAUUACCUCACCAAGCAGAUAGAGCAAGUGAACCUAGACCUCCACGAGCUGGUACACAGCCCCUCCCUUGCCCUCCCCGCCGCCCCUCCCGUCCCAGCCGGCGGGACACAGCUCCUUCCCUCCUGUGCGUGCAGAGGGGGGGGGGGGGGGGGGGGGGGGGGGGGGGGGGGGGGGGGGGGGGGGGGGGGGGGGGGGGGGGGGGGGGGGGGGG